CAGGAGACGCCUCCGUUGUCCUCCUGGUCUCUCUCUCUGUGGCAUCUCUCCCUCCCUCACGUGUUGCUGGAGGGAGCCCCCUCCUCCCCCACCCCGGCUGAAGAGGGCGCGCGCGCGCGCUCUAGAACGUCCCAGCUGCCCUCAACGGCCGUUCAGCGACCGGUUUCUGGGCUGGCCACUCGGGACUCCGUCAGGCGCGCUUAGUCCUUCCUUUUGCGAGGCGAGGAGGAGUCUCGGGGCGAGGGACCGGUGUACUCCACUGCCGCCGCCUCCUUCCUCGGCCAGCCGGGCGGGAGGAUGAAGAAGAUCUUCGGGUUCGGGAAGAAAAGGGAGAGGCAGCAGUCUCCCUCCCGGCCAGCGUCAGGCGGGGCGACUGCCUCCCCCAGCGGCGGCGAGGGCGGCAGCCUCAGCGGAGGAGGCUAUGAGGUGUGGAGGAGCAAGGACCUGGGCAAGCUGCACCGGGCAGCAGCCACCGGGGACCUGAAGAAACUCCAGCAGCUCGUCAGGAAGCACGACCUCAACCAGCUGGAUAAAGCCAACAGGCUGUGCAGUGUCAGCACGAAUUAUGUGCAACUUACCUACUAGAACAUGGAGCAGACACUAAUCUUGUGGAUGCAAAUGGUAACACUGCUCUCCACCUUGCUGCAUCUAAUGCUAGCAUAUCUGUCGCACAACGACUGAUUGAACACAAUGCCCAUGUUGAUGUACAGAAUAAGAGCUAUAAUUGGAGAGAUUGAUGAAGAGACAGACUCUGCACUUGACUUGGGGAAUAUUCAAGCAGAACCUUUGAACUCUGUUGUACAUUGAAGAAAAAGACCAAUACAAAAGGACUUCAUAAAUCUCAGCCUGUACAGAACUAUUUAUAGGAUGGCAUGGCUACUUUUUACAGGUUUUAUGCGAUGACCUAGUUUAUUAUUUUGAAUGUUAUGGUUUGAUCUGUAAAUUAAAACGUUUCUGUUUGGCCUGGAUUUCCAGGGUUUUUUAAAAUCGGUUUUAAUAUUUUAACACAGUUUUAGGGUUUUUAAUUAGUGUGAUUGUUUAAUUGUUGUUCUAAAAUGUUUUUAAUUGUUAAUUGUUACGUUGUUUUUUAAUUUUUGUUUUAGCUCUUUACUGUUUUAAUGGUUUGUUUUAAUUGUAAACCGCCCUGAGCCAUUUUGGAAGGGCGGUAUAAGAAUCAAAUAAAUAAAUAAGAUAGCCUCA